rnacentral:rRNA from 1 species
GACGAACGCUGGCGGCGUGCUUAACACAUGCAAGUCGAACGGAAAGGCCCUGCUUGCAGGGUACUCGAGUGGCGAACGGGUGAGUAACACGUGGGUGAUCUGCCCUGCACUUCGUGAUAAGCCUGGAAAACUGUGUCUAAUACCGGAUAGGAGCCAUUCUGAGUGUGAUGGUUGGAAAGUUUUUUCGGUUUGGGAUGAGCGCGCGGGCUAUCCGCUUGUUGGUGGGGUAAGGGCCUACCUAGGCGGGGACGGGUAGCCGGCCUGGGAGGGUGGACGGCCACCUUGGGACUGGGAUUCGGGCCAGAAUCCUACGGGGGGCAGGCGGGGGGAAUUUUGCAAAAUGGGGGCGAGCCUGAUUCCGCGACGCCCGGUGGGGGAUUACGGCCUUCGGGUUGUAAACUCCUUUCGCUAGGGACGAAGCUUUUUGUGACGGUACCUAGAUAAGAAGCACCGGCUAACUACGUG